rnacentral:rRNA from 1 species
GAUGAACGCUGGCGGCGUGCCUAAUACAUGCAAGUCGAGCGAACAGACGAGGAGCUUGCUCCUCUGACGUUAGCGGCGGACGGGUGAGUAACACGUGGAUAACCUACCUAUAAGACUGGGAUAACUUCGGGAAACCGGAGCUAAUACCGGAUAAUAUAUUAAACCGCAUGGUUCAAUAGUGAAAGACGGUUUUGCUGUCACUUAUAGGUGGAUCCGCGCCGCAUUAGCUAGUUGGUAAGGUAACGGCUUACCAAGGCGACGAGGCGUAGCCGACCUGAGAGGGUGAUCGGCCACACUGGAACUGAGACACGGUCCAGACUCCUACGGGAGGCAGCAGCAGGGAAUCUUCCGCAAUGGGCGAAAGCCUGACGGAGCAACGCCGCGUGAGUGAUGAAGGUCUUCGGAUCGUAAAACUCUGUUAUUAGGGAAGAACAAAUGUGUAAGUAACUAUGCACGUCUUGACGGUACCUAAUCAGAAAGCCACGGCUAACUACGUG